rnacentral:RNase_P_RNA from 1 species
UGAACCUUCAGCCGCGGCGGCCCCAAGAAAGUCCUUCCGUGUUUACGCGGGGGGGCAUGGGCGCCGUCCGAGGAAAGUCCGGGCUCCGCGGGGCAUGAUGCCGGGUAACGCCCGGGCGGAAGGUACGGAUCGGACAAGGGGGUUUACCCUUAAGGACGAUAUCCCAUCUUCCGACAGACAGCGCAACAGAAAACAAACCGUGAAAGGGGGGCUAUGGCCCUCCCCACAAGGGUGAAACGGCGGGGUAAGAGCCCACCGCGGCGCCGGUAACGGCGCCGGUCUGGCAAGCCUCAUCAGGAGUAAAAUCAAGCGGCGCCACAAAAGUCCGGCUUUUGUGCCAAUUGCCCGUUGGUUAAGCGCAGGUAGAUUGCCGGGGGUAUCCCCGGAGACCGUCCGCAAGGCCGGUCCAAGACAGAUGGCUGAAAGGGCCGCCGCCGGCGGUCCUGAUAACAGAACCCGGCUUAUGGUUCAUCGU